rnacentral:tRNA from 1 species
GAGGGUCGAUUGGCACAUGUUUGGCACAUGAAACGCUACAUACCCUAGAAAACAAGGAAUGAACGCGCGACUUUUAAUCAGUAGGUCAUGGGUUCGAAUCCCAUCGCUCUCACCA